rnacentral:rRNA from 1 species
AUUGAACGCUGGCGGCAGGCCUAACACAUGCAAGUCGAGCGUGCGGCGGACGGGUGCGUACUGUCUGGGAAACUGCCUGAUGGCGGGGGAUCACUACUGGAAACGGUAGCUAAUACCGCAUUCCAUCAGAUUUGCCCAGAGGGGAUUAGCUAGUAGGUGGGGUAACGGCUCACCUAGGCGACGAUCCCUAGCUGGUCUGAGAGGAUGACCAGCCACACUGGGACGGAGACACGGUCCAGACUCCUACGAGAGGCAGCAGUGGGGAAUAUUACACAAUGGGCGCAAGCCGGAUGAAGCAAGGCCGCGUGAGUGAAGAAGGCCUUCGGGUUGUAAAGCACUGUCAGCGGGGAGGCGUUAACCGAAGAAGAAGCACCGGCUAACUCCGUGCCAGCAGCCGCGGUAAUUC